rnacentral:rRNA from 1 species
GUGGGGAAUUUUGGACAAUGGGCGAAAGCCUGAUCCAGCAAUGCCGCGUGUGUGAAGAAGGCCUUCGGGUUGUAAAGCACUUUUGGCAGGGAAGAAACAGUGCGUGCUAAUACCAUGCGCGAAUGACGGUACCUGCAGAAUAAGCACCGGCUAACUACGUGCCAGUAGCCGCGGUAAUACGUAGGGUGCAAGCGUUAAUCGGAAUUACUGGGCGUAAAGCGUGCGCAGGCGGCUUUGUAAGACGGAUGUGAAAGCCCCGGGCUCAACCUGGGAAGUGCAUUCGUGACUGCAAGGCUAGAGUGUGUCAGAGGGAGGUGGAAUUCCGCGUGUAGCAGUGAAAUGCGUAGAGAUGCGGAGGAACACCGAUGGCGAAGGCAGCCUCCUGGGAUAACACUGACGCUCAGGCACGAAAGCGUGGGGAGCAAACAGGAUUAGAAACCCUUGUAGUCC